UACGUAGGGGGCUAGCGUUAUCCGGAAUUACUGGGGCGUAAAGGGUGCGUAGGUGGUUUCUUAAGUCAGAGGUGAAAGGCUACGGCUCAACCGUAGUAAGCCUUUGAAACUGGGAAACUUGAGUGCAGGAGAGGAGAGUGGAAUUCCUAGUGUAGCGGUGAAAUGCGUAGAUAUCGGGAGGAACACCGGUGGCGAAGGCGGCUUUCUGGCCAGUUACUGACGCUCAUGCGCGAAAGCUGGGGUAGCGAACCGGAUUAGAUACCCGCGUAGUCCCUGAGCGGGCUGG
rnacentral:rRNA from 1 species